rnacentral:rRNA from 1 species
GAUCAUGGCUCAGGAUGAACGCUAGCUACAGGCUUAACACAUGCAAGUCGAGGGGCAGCGGGAUUGAAGCUUGCUUCAAUUGCCGGCGACCGGCGCACGGGUGAGUAACGCGUAUCCAACCUUCCGUACACUCAGGGAUAGCCUUUCGAAAGAAAGAUUAAUACCUGAUGGUAUCUUAAGCACACAUGUAAUUAAGAUUAAAGAUUCGUCGGUGUACGAUGGGGAUGCGUUCCAUUAGGUAG